rnacentral:misc_RNA from 1 species
GAAAAGAUGGCUGCAUUGUACCUUCAAGUGAGUAUUGUCAGCCAGGCUUUGAUUUUUGUAACUAGAUCGCGCGGCUGGUCGUAUGUUGAGCGACCUGGACUUCUAUUAGUGGGCGCUUUCUUGGUUGCACAACUGGUUGCAACUUUGAUCGCGGUAUAUGCAAACUGGGGAUUUGCAAAGAUCAAGGGAAUCGGAUGGGGAUGGGCCGGUGUCAUCUGGCUGUACAGCAUUGUUUUCUACAUUCCACUCGAUAUCAUGAAGUUUGCUAUUCGAUACAUAUUGAGCGGAAAGGCAUGGCUAAACUUGUUAGAAAACAAGACUGCUUUCACCACCAAGAAAGACUAUGGAAAAGAGG